rnacentral:rRNA from 1 species
CCUACGGGCGGCUGCAGUGGGGAAUAUUGCACAAUGGGGGAAACCCUGAUGCAGCGACGCCGCGUGAGUGAAGAAGUAAUUUGUUAUGUAAAGCUCUAUCAGCAGGGAAGAAAAUGACGGUACCUGAGUAAGAAGCCCCGGCUAACUACGUGCCAGCAGCCGCGGUAAUACGUAGGGGGCAAGCGUUAUCCGGAUUUACUGGGUGUAAAGGGAGCGUAGACGGCAGUGCAAGUCUGGAGUGAAAGGCGGGGGCUCAACCCCCGGACUGCUCUGGAAACUGUACGGCUGGAGUGCAGGAGAGGUAAGUGGAAUUCCUAGUGUAGCAGUGAAAUGCGUAGAUAUUAGGAGGAACACCAGUGGCGAAGGCGGCUUACUGGACUGUAACUGACGUUGAGGCUCGAAGGCGAGGGGAGCGAACAGGAUUAGAUACCCUUGUAGUC